UACGGAGGGAGCUAGCGUUGUUCGGAAUUACUGGGCGUAAAGCGCGCGUAGGCGGCUUUGUAAGUUAGAGGUGAAAGCCCGGGGCUCAACCCCGGAACUGCCUUUAAGACUGCAUCGCUUGAAUCCGGGAGAGGUGAGUGGAAUUCCGAGUGUAGAGGUGAAAUUCGUAGAUAUCGAGAGGAACACCUGCGGCGAAGGCGGGUUGCUGGGCCGACACUGACGCUGAUGCGCGAAAGCCAGGGGAGCGAACGGG
rnacentral:rRNA from 1 species